rnacentral:rRNA from 1 species
UUUCCUACGGGACGCAGCAGUGGGGAAUAUUGGGCAAUGGACGCAAGUCUGACCCAGCAACGCCGCGUGAAGGAAGAAGGCUUUCGGGUUGUAAACUUCUUUUAAGGGGGAAGAGCAGAAGACGGUACCCCUUGAAUAAGCCACGGCUAACUGCGUGCCAGCAGCCGCGGUAAUACGUAGGUGGCAAGCGUUGUCCGGAUUUACUGGGUGUAAAGGGAGUGCAGCCGGAGAGACAAGUCAGAUGUGAAAUCCACGGGCUCAACCCGUGAACUGCAUAUGAAACUGUUUCCCGUGAGUGACGGAGA